CAUCAAGUCUGCUGUCAAAGACUAGGGCUUAACCCUGGAGAGGCGGUGGAAACUGGUGGACUAGAGUACGGUAGGGGUAGAGGGAAUUCCCAGUGUAGCGGUGAAAUGCGUAGAGAUUGGGAAGAACACCAGUGGCGAAGGCGCUCUACUGGACCUGUACUGACACUCAGGGACGAAAGCUAGGGGAGCGAAAGGGAUUAGAUACCCCUGUAGUCCUAGCUGUAAACGAUGGAUACUAGGCGUUGCUUGUAUCGACCCGAGCAGUGCCGUAGCUAACGCGUUAAGUAUCCCGCCUGGGGAGUACGCACGCAAGUGUGAAACUCAAAGGAAUUGACGGGGGCCCGCACAAGCGGUGGAGUAUGUGGUUUAAUUCGAUGCAACGCGAAGAACCUUACCAGGACUUGACAUCCCGCGAAUUUUUCUGAAAAGAGAAAGUGCCUUCGGGAACGCGGAGACAGGUGGUGCAUGGCUGUCGUCAGCUCGUGUCGUGAGAUGUUGGGUUAAGUCCCGCAACGAGCGCAACCCUCGUUCUUAGUUGCCAGCAUUAAGUUGGGCACUUUAAGGAGACUGCCGGUGACAAACCGGAGGAAGGUGGGGAUGACGUCAAGUCAGCAUGCCCCUUACGUUCUGGGCUACACACGUACUACAAUGGUUGGGACAAAGGGCAGCGAGCGAGUAAUCGUCAGCGAAUCUCAUCAAACCCAGCCUCAGUUCAGAUUGCAGGCUGCAACUCGCCUGCA
rnacentral:rRNA from 1 species